ACGGAAGGCAGCAGUGGGGAAUAUUGGGCAAUGGGCGAAAGCCUGACCCAGCAACGCCGCGUGAAGGAUGACGGUCUUCGGAUUGUAAACUUCUUUAAUUUGGGAAGAACAAAAUGACCUACCCAAGGAAUAAGUCACGGCUAACUACGUGCCAGCAGCCGCGGUAAUACGUAGGUGACAAGCGUUAUCCGGAUUUACUGGGCGUAAAGGGCGUGUAGGCGGUCUUGCAAGUCAGAAGUGAAAUUCCUGAGCUCAACUCGGGCGCUGCUUCUGAAACUGCAGGACUUGAGUGCUGGAGGGGAUAGCGGAAUUCCUAGUGGAGCGGUAAAAUGCGCAGAUAUUAGGAAGAACACCGGUGGCGAAGGCGGCUAUCUGGACAGUAACUGACGCUGAGGCGCGAAAGCGUGGGGAGCAAACAGGAUUAGAUACCCUGGUA
rnacentral:rRNA from 1 species